AUCACUUUGAUAACUGUGAUUUUCCCCCCAUCAGACUGCAGCAACACUUCCCUGUCUCUCAGCAGGAUUAUGAAGACAAAAAUCGGUUCAUGAUAGCAAGAUGUUUCAUUUCUACUCCACUAAGGAACUUGAAGACUUCAUACAGGUAACUUCUCAAAUGAUGCGUCCAUGCAGAAGAAGACAUCACUUACACCUCACAUCUCCAUGUUCUGUGUCAGAGAAUCUGCGGACUCCGAGUGUGUAAUAGUGUGAGCGCAACGCAGGGCAGGUCAGACAAGCUGUGAGAGGUGGGAGGACAUGCGGGCAUCAUCUCCCACUCUGCUCCUCUGUUCUCUGCCUAGUCAUUGCACAGGGUCAACCUACACACCACUUCAGAAGAAAGGAGGGAGGUAAGGAAAACAAUCAUUUCAAUGUUAAUAAGGCCAGGAGGGAUGUUAAGCUCCUCGAGUAGCUUGCUAACUGCCACAAUACUAAGGAAUCAAACAAUAAAUAACGUGAUAUGGAGGGAGAGCACUUGGUGGAGCCUAUAGAAUGGCUCAUCCAGUAUUAUCCUAGCUAAGAAGCUGGGAGUUGGAAACAAUCACAGACUGUUACCUUUUUGUCAGAAGGGAUGUUUUUAUAGUAAAGUUUUCUUAGACUUAAUCUUUAAUAUUAACAAUUUUACCACCACAUCAGUAAGUCUCCUCUUUCACACGUGCACACUCCUGUGAUUUUCCUCUCUACACUUACAGAAAAACUAACAGCUUGUUACAAUUCAAAUGUGAUAAUUUUCAUGUGCUAAUCACUUUCCUUAAUGGGGAAUGUUUGCUUUCUCUAAAGUUUAGCCAUUUCCACACCACAGCCAUUUAUGCUCUUCAAAGUCUUACAUAUCAGAGAAUAUCUGUUCUU